GCUUCGUUAGCGUAGUUGGAUUAUCGCAUCCGUCUAAUACGGGAUGCCUCAGAAAUUACACUUAGUUUGUUACAACAGAAGGUCACUGGUUCGAGCCCAGUACGGAGCA
rnacentral:tRNA from 1 species